rnacentral:rRNA from 1 species
CAGCAGUCGCCGCGGUAAUACGAGGGGGGCAAGCGUUGUUCGGAAUUAUUGGGCGUAAAGGGUGCGUAGGCGGCUUGACAAGUCUUGUGUGAAAUCUAUGGGCUCAACCCAUAGUCUGCACGGGAAACUGUCGGGCUUGAGAAUGGGAGAGGUGAGUGGAAUUUCCGGUGUAGCGGUGAAAUGCGUAGAUAUCGGAAGGAACACCUGUGGCGAAAGCGGCUCACUGGACCAUUUCUGACGCUGAUGCACGAAAGCUAGGGGAGCAAACAGGAUUAGAUACCCGCGUAGUCCCUGUCUCUUAUAU